rnacentral:rRNA from 1 species
UACAGAGGUGGCAAGCGUUGUUCGGAAUUACUGGGCGUAAAGGGCGCGUAGGCGGCCAUCUAAGUCAGACGUGAAAUCCCCCGGCUCAACCUGGGAACUGCGUCUGAUACUGGAAGGCUAGAGUUUGGGAGAGGGAUGUAGAAUUCCAGGUGUAGCGGUGAAAUGCGUAGAUAUCUGGAGGAAUACCGGUGGCGAAGGCGGCAUCCUGGCCCAUUCUUGACGCUGAGGCGCGAAAGCUAGGGGAGCAAACGGG